rnacentral:rRNA from 1 species
UACGUAGGGUGCGAGCGUUGUCCGGAAUUAUUGGGCGUAAAGAGCUCGUAGGCGGUUUGUUGCGUCGGCCGUGAAAACCUGCAGCUUAACUGUGGGCCUGCGGCCGAUACGGGCAGACUUGAGUUCGGUAGGGGGAGACUGGAAUUCCUGGUGUAGCGGUGAAAUGCGCAGAUAUCAGGAGGAACACCAAUUGCGAAGGCAGCUCGCUGGGACGUUACUGACGCUGAGACGCGAAAGCGUGGGGAGCAAACAGG